rnacentral:ncRNA from 1 species
AGACAGCGCUAUCGCGCUUCCUCAGCCCGAACGGAUCGGGGCAAAUCAAUCUUUUUAUCCAUAACUCGUU